ACUACGUUUUCUUUAAAAUGAUGAAGUGUCAAGAUCACGAAUGACGAAAUUUAUUGUUACCAUUUACUGAUUUCAAUGACAAGAAUGAUUAAAUUAUUGACAAAGAAAACAUGAAAUGUGGUGAAAUAUUCAUGAAAUAACUCAGAAAUAACGAAAUACGUAGACAAAUUUUAUUUUUUCGUUAAUAUUUCCGGUUGCCCUGCUGACAUACACCUUAAAAUUCUGGAAAAUUCUCGACAACGUUAUAUUAUAUACACAAUGCAGACGAUUGAUGUCGGUGAUGUGACACACCGUCGAGUUUUGAGAGAAAAGUUGAAGUGCAAAUCAUUCGAUUGGUAUCUGAAGAACGUUUAUCCAGAAAAAUUUAUUCCAAACAAAAACGUUCAAUUUUUUGGAAGAUUUUCAGCCAAACAUCAAAACUACUGUCUGGAUGAUUUACAGCAGGACAAUGAAAAACCAUACAAUCUAGGCAUUUAUUCGUGUCAUAAACCAAACGUGUCACGAUCCCAAUUUUUUUCAAUCACACAUUCAGGAGUUCUCAGGAAUGAAUUAUCUUGUGCUUCAAUUCAACAAAGGUUGGAGUUUUUAAAAAAAAAUCGUAGUUUCAACCAUUUUUACACUCCAUCUUACCAUAUUCGUCAGUAGCAUAAUUUAGUUCUAGUAUUUAUAAUUUGAAUGGGUGAGGGCAAAAGUGAGACUUGUAUUCACAGCAUAUUUGAAUGAAACACAAAAGAAUGAUUUUUUUAAAGUGUGACGUCGACAGAGAUUUUUUCAAAGUGAAACACCGCGUGUUACAUUUCAAUAAAAUUUGUUUUCAUGAUUCCAUGGAUUAUUUUAAGGAUUUUUUAGAACGGACCAGAAAUUCGAAGAAAUACAAAGAGCGUUUUUUUUAAAUAUUGAUCGAGCGAAGUUUAGUUGGAAUGUCAAGAGUACUAAGAUUCAGUGAUUAUUUAAUAUUGGCUCUUUAACAGUGAAACCAGUGGAUCCAAACAUAUUUAAGGUGGUCAAAAAGUUAAAAUCAGGCGAGCGUAAGGUAAAUGUUGGAAAAUUGUUGUUCUGAGAUCAUUUUCGUGAAAUUUGGAGUUUGUGCUGACGCUAUGCAAAACCUCAGAGUUUGUGCUUCAACUGGUUGUGAGCACAAACUCGGCAAAUUUGAAAAUUUGAAGAAAAAAAAAAUUUUGCAGGGCGGCUCCAUCUCAGAGGCCGAAUGUUGUUGUCCUGGGGUGGUUUUCAUAAAAUUUGGAGUUUGUGCUGACCGUAUGCAAAGUCUCAGAGUUUGUGCUUCAACUGGUUGUGGGCACAAACUGGCCAAAGUUUGAUUUUUGUCAAAUUUUGUCGUUUUGUGGGGCGGCUCCAUUUUAGAGGCCGAAUGUUGUUGUCCUGAGAUCAUUUUCAUAAAAUUUGGAGUUUGUGCUGACCGUGUGCAAAGUCUCAGAGUUUGUGCUUGAACUGGUUGUGAGCACAAACUCGCCAAAGUUUGAUUUUUGUCAAAUUUUGUCGUUUUGUAUGGGAAGUAGUUGAAAAAAGCAUUUUUCAUGGUUUUGGUCAAGGCAAACUGCCAUUAUUUUGCAAAAAUAAUGGGGAUCUGUGAACAACUAAACACCAAUUUCCCCAUAAAUUUGGUCCGAAAUCAAAAUUUCUUCAUAAAACAUGCGGAUGGCCGCAAUCUGCAUACAAAAUCAAAUUUAUGCCAUAGAAAACUUACCUAUUAUGAGCUAAUGUGAUUCUAUUUUCACGUAAUUUUUGAUGAGGAAUCGAUUUAGAGUUCACUCGACCCUGUCUAAUUGGUAUGAAAGGCCGAGACGUGCUCUUGUUCUAGUAGAUGUUUUCAACUCGCUACCAAAAUAAUUUUUUUCCAAAAUUAUCUAUAUUU